AGUGAACGCUGGCGGUAGGCCUAACACAUGCAAGUCGAACGGCAGCACAGUAAGAGCUUGCUCUUACGGGUGGCGAGUGGCGGACGGGUGAGGAAUACAUCGGAAUCUACUUUUUCGUGGGGGAUAACGUAGGGAAACUUACGCUAAUACCGCAUACGACCUACGGGUGAAAGCAGGGGAUCUUCGGACCUUGCGCGACUGAAUGAGCCGAUGUCGGAUUAGCUAGUUGACGGGGUAAAGGCCCACCAAGGCGACGAUCCGUAGCUGGUCUGAGAGGAUGAUCAGCCACACUGGAACUGAGACACGGUCCAGACUCCUACGGGAGGCAGCAGUGGGGAAUAUUGGACAAUGGGCGCAAGCCUGAUCCAGCCAUACCGCGUGGGUGAAGAAGGCCUUCGGGUUGUAAAGCCCUUUUGUUGGGAAAGAAAAGCAGCAGGUUAAUACCCCGCUGUUCUGACGGUACCCAAAGAAUAAGCACCGGCUAACUUCGUG
rnacentral:rRNA from 1 species